rnacentral:rRNA from 1 species
AGAGGGCGACCGGCCACACUGGGACUGAGACACGGCCCAGACUCCUACGGGAGGCAGCAGUGGGGAAUAUUGCGCAAUGGGCGAAAGCCUGACGCAGCGACGCCGCGUGAGGGACGAAGGCCUUCGGGUUGUAAACCUCUUUCAGCAGGGAAGAAGCGAAAGUGACGGUACCUGCAGAAGAAGCACCGGCUAACUACGUGCCAGCAGCCGCGGUAAUACGUAGGGUGCAAGCGUUGUCCGGAAUUAUUGGGCGUAAGGAGCUCGUAGGCGGUUUGUCGCGUCUGCUGUGAAAACUCGGGGCUUAACCCCGGGCCUGCAGUGGGUACGGGCAGACUAGAGUGCGGUAGGGGAGACUGGAAUUCCUGGUGUAGCUAAAAUGCGCAGAUAUCAGGAGGAACACCGGUGGCGAAGGCGGGUCUCUGGGCCGUAACUGACGCUGAGGAGCGAAAGCGUGGGGAGCGAACAGGAUUAGAUACCCUGGUAGUCCACGCCGUAAACGUUGGGCGCUAGGUGUGGGGCUCUUUCCACGAGUUCCGUGCCGCAGCAAACGCAUUAAGCGCCCCGCCUGGGGAGUACGGCCGCAAGGCUAAAACUCAAAGGAAUUGACGGGGGCCCGCACAAGCGGCGGAGCAUGCGGAUUAAUUCGAUGCAACGCGAAGAACCUUACCAAGGCUUGACAUGAGCGGUAAUCCGGCAGAGAUGUCGGGUCCGUGAGGGCCGCUCACAGGUGGUGCAUGGUUGUCGUCAGCUCGUGUCGUGAGAUGUUGGGUUAAGUCCCGCAACGAGCGCAACCCUCGUUCUAUGUUGCCAGCACAUAAUGGUGGGGACUCAUAGGAGACUGCCGGGGUCAACUCGGAGGAAGGUGGGGAUGACGUCAAAUCAUCAUGCCCCUUAUGUCUUGGGCUUCACGCAUGCUACAAUGGCCAGUACAAAGGGCUGCGAGACCGUAAGGUGGAGCGAAUCCCAAAAAGCUGGUCUCAGUUCGGAUCGGGGUCUGCAACUCGACCCCGUGAAGUCGGAGUCGCUAGUAAUCGCGGAUCAGCAACGCUGCGGCGAAUACGUUCCCGGGCCUUGUACACACCGCCCGUCACGUCACGAAAGUCGGUAACACCCGAAGCCGGUGGCCCAACCCUUGUGGAGGGAGCCGUCGAAGGUGGGACUGGCGAUUGGGACGAAGUCGGAACAAGGUAGCCGUACCGGAAGGUGCGGCUG